rnacentral:rRNA from 1 species
GAUGAACGCUGGCGGCGUGCCUAAUACAUGCAAGUCGAGCGAACAGACGAGGAGCUUGCUCCUCUGACGUUAGCGGCGGACGGGUGAGUAACACGUGGAUAACCUACCUAUAAGACUGGGAUAACUUCGGGAAACCGGAGCUAAUACCGGAUAAUAUAUUGAACCGCAUGGUUCAAUAGUGAAAGACGGUUUUGCUGUCACUUAUAGAUGGAUCCGCGCCGCAUUAGCUAGUUGGUAAGGUAACGGCUUACCAAGGCAACGAUGCGUAGCCGACCUGAGAGGGUGAUCGGCCACACUGGAACUGAGACACGGUCCAGACUCCUACGGGAGGCAGCAGUAGGGAAUCUUCCGCAAUGGGCGAAAGCCUGACGGAGCAACUCCGCGUGAGUGAUGAAGGUCUUCGGAUCGUAAAACUCUGUUAUUAGGGAAGAACAAAUGUGUAAGUAACUAUGCACGUCUUGACGGCACCUAAUCAGAAAGCCACGGCUAACUACGUG